AAGUGGAAGUGGCUGAGUGUCAGUGAUAUUCCCCCAGAAUGUAUUUUUCUUACCUCGGCAUGUACUGUAGUCACUUGAUAUUUGUAUAUGUUGCUAGAAUUUAGGCUGUUGAAAAUAGUGAGAUUCUAAUGUGUUUUUAAUAAAUUAUAUGUGUGUGUCUUGCUCAGAUUUUUUUGGAUUAAAUAAAACAACCUUGACAUCAUAGUCCAGAAAAUGCCAAAUUUCUCAAAGUUGACAACAGUCACAUUUUAUGACCAGUAUUAUAGUGGGUAUAGAUAGCAUCAUUGGUCCCCCUGCCACUGUCCCUGCCGGCAACUCCACAACCCUCAAGCCUACCUUAUGGAAGUGAAUCUGGGCAGCCCAGCUCUGUGUGGCUAUAGAGUAAAGGGGCACACCCCAUCAGCAUGGAGAGCCAGCCAGUGCCAGCGUCCCCAUCAGUUAGGUGCUGGACACUGCCAGCAUGAGCUACCCUCACUGUCAGACCCCUCCUAUUUACAGUUUGUCAGUAUUUCAUUUAUUCUUUUUCUGACAUUUCACUCUUUUUAUUUUACACACAAACUCUUUAGGGAGGAGGCAAAUUGAUUGCCAUUAUCACCAGCGUUUCCAAUAAUAACACUUCCUGUUUGCUCUCCUCCCAUUCUACCCCCUUUGGUUGUGUCUACUAACAGUUGAAAGGUGGAACUUGCCUCGCAGGCCACCAUUUGUUUGUGUUUCUUCAGAUUUUUCUCUCAUGUGCCUGAAAUGACCACUGAAUGUUUCACUGAAGGUGAAAUUUAGUCAUGUGAAAUAGGACAUUUUUUUCCCUAUACAAAUAAUAAAAAAAAAAGCU
rnacentral:lncRNA from 1 species